UACAGAGGGGGCAAGCGUUGUUCGGAAUUACUGGGCGUAAAGGGCGCGUAGGCGGCCUUCUAAGUCGAACGUGAAAUCCCCGGGCUCAACCCGGGAACUGCGUCCGAUACUGGAAGGCUUGAAUCCGGGAGAGGGAUGUGGAAUUCCAGGUGUAGCGGUGAAAUGCGUAGAUAUCUGGAGGAACACCGGUGGCGAAGGCGACAUCCUGGACCGGUAUUGACGCUGAGGCGCGAAAGCCAGGGGAGCAAACGG
rnacentral:rRNA from 1 species